UGAGGAAUAUUGGUCAAUGGCCGGAAGGCUGAACCAGCCAAGCCGCGUGGAGGAAGAAGGCGCAGAGCGUCGCAGACUCCUUUUGUCGGGGGACAAACGGCCGCACGCGUGCGGCUCUGAGGGUACCCGAAGAAAAAGCAUCGGCUAACUCCGUGCCAGCAGCCGCGGUAAUACGGAGGAUGCGAGCGUUAUCCGGAUUCAUUGGGUUUAAAGGGUGCGUAGGCGGUGUCUUAAGCCGGCGGUGAAAUCGCGGGGCUCAACCCGCCGAGCCGUCGGAACUGGGAUGCUCGAGUGUCCGGCGAGGCAUGCGGAAUGCGCGGUGUAGCGGUGAAAUGCAUAGAUAUCGCGCAGAACCCCGAUUGCGAAGGCAGCGUGCCAGCCGCCCACUGACGCUGAGGCACGAAAGCGCGGGUAUCGAACAGGAUUAGAUACC
rnacentral:rRNA from 1 species